UCAAGAGAUUGUAAUCCUGGUCAGUUUUUUGCGGCCGUGAUUUUGCACCUGGAAUCACCUCCUGAGAUUGAUGAGCUGCUCAGCUGAGAUUGUAAUCCUGGUCAGUUUUAUCAAUAAUACACUCUCUUUUCGCGCAAAGAGAAAAAUAAAUAAUCGAAAUUUCGGUGCCCACAAAAAUUCUUGGUGCCUUCCCAAAGUGCAAACACUGAUCCACAAGGACACUACCGUCGCCACAGUGCAUUGUUGUGUACUCCUGCUUCGUGGCUUUAACUACCUCAUUUUGUUCAUCCAUGUGUAUAAGCAUAUGCUAGCCAGCUCUGGGUAGUUGCCUAAUACUCUAUUUGUUAUUUCCAUGGUUGCUCAGUUGUUUAAAAUUUCAAAUGGAAGAGAUAUACCACCAUGAACGAAUGCAUCAGAUGCGACCGUGCCAGGCUUUCUGCCUCAACAAACAACAGUUAACAGUUGAGACAGGACCAGUGUCUCCACUGCAAGAAGACAAGACAUUCCAAGAAAGAUCAUCCUGACUUCCUGAUAGUGAUCAUGGCAAAGAAAGGGAUUCCGUUCAGUGAGGACUACGCAAAAGAAGUGAAAGAUCCAUUAGAGUUGCCAAUGGAGUUGAAGCAAAAGUUGAAGCUGUUGGAGAUCUUCGCCUAGAGCUCGUGAAUGGCUUCACACUUUUACUUCCAGAUGUUUUUAUGUCCCUUCUUUGCAAAGAAAUAAGUGUAUCCAAAUUGGAUUUUGAUAUAUAUGAUUGCCAUUUUGGAAAUGGCAAAUGUGAACUAUGGUAUAAUAAUGCAUGUAUUGGUCUUGUGUUGCAAGAUCAGCUUUAUUUGUUA